UCUAAUCCCAAAUUGAGAACAACCCAGCGGCACCUCUUCUUCUUCGCCAAAAAUCUCUUCUCUCCUGGCGAGUCGCCGUUUACUUGGCUCGCCGGAGAUUCACCGGCUUCAUUCCCUCCAUCUCCUCCGAUCCUUCUUCUUCUCUUUCGCUACACCAAAUUCCCAAGUCAAUUUCUUGGUUAGAGGGAACAGCAGCGGCGCUCCAAUCCUCUUCCUCGUGGCCUCUCCGGCGGAAACGCCGUCUCGAUGGAACCGUCGUUGGUGAGCGGCGCUGCUGCAUGCGCCGCCGUCUUCGUCUCCGGCCAAACAGCCGCCGCUGCCUGCUCCCUUUUUCCACCGCGUUAAGGCAGCAAACGCUCCUGCCCGCCAUCGCCGUCGAUCGGCCUCCGUCGGACGGUCCCAUCCCCUCCGCCGAGUCCUCCGUUGAGCAGCUUAUUCCCAUAAAGCUAAGUCCUCUUUCUUAGUUCAUUUUAAUUUGCCCUUUUGAAGGAUAGAAGUUUCAGAGGAUUCUACUUUAUUGUUGGGAGUGUAAUCGAAAACGGUGGAGGAACCCGUUCCUUGUGUUCAAGUAAAAUUCGAUAGCUAGCAUCCUAUGAUUUUUUUUCAAAUACGGCAGUAGCUAUGUUCAAAGCUCUAUGGUUCUAAGUUCUCGUGCUAGCUAUGAUUUCUUAUCAUGAUGCAGAGGUUGGUUUAGUGAGGAUUACCUCUAAAAUUGACCGCUGCCUUGAUUCCUGCUCCUUGAGCUCCAAAUCCCACACUCCUAACUCACUAUGUUGCUGAAUUAUUGAUGUGGUGUAAGGGAAGGUUGAGGGUGGUAAGGAGGGGUCUUUAUAGGUGAUUUGGUAACUGCAAAAUCUGCAACUCUUGAUCCUCUUGCAGGGACAUUUUUGUUGGUUGUGAGAGUGUACUCGUAUAUUCAGGUACUCAAGAAAGGGGCAGAGAUUGUUACUGCAGAUUGUCGCAGCUGGAAGGCAGACAUUGCAGGCUCAUUUGCCCCAUUGCAGCCUGCGGUUAAGGCUGGGAAAGGGCAGGGAUGGAAUAAGGACCCAUCAUGUCCGGCUGCUACCUUGAUGUUCUGAUCUCAACGGGCUGUCGAAGCUAGGCCGAAAUUCGGGCCUAAGGCAGAGCCCGAGACUUAGCAUUUCUACUUGUAAUAGAAAAGAGUCUUCCCUCUUGUUCUUUUUCAAGCUUUCUCUCAUUUCAAACAAAAAGUAUAGAAUUACUUCUCAAAUUUAGUGCGUAUCAUUCUUUUUCUAUUUUCAUCAUCAAGCAUCUUGUAAACUUAUACUUAGCUUGGAAAAUCAAAAUACUAUGUUUUGAUUACACAAGAACAUAAACAAAUGCUCUUUCAUUUUUUUUUUAUCAACAUCUGUAAAUUCAAGGCUUAGCUGGAUAUACUAACUGUUGUGUUCUGUAUGCUCAAAGCUCUGAACACUCUUUCUUUUCUCUUUAUAAAUUUCUAGUAUUUAUUUCAAAAUUCUCGAAAAUCUAGGUCUCGGAUAUUACA